ACAUGCAGUCGAGCGAACAGACGAGGAGCUUGCUCCUCUGACGUUAGCGGCGGACGGGUGAGUAACACGUGGAUAACCUACCUAUAAGACUGGGAUAACUUCGGGAAACCGGAGCUAAUACCGGAUAAUAUAUUGAACCGCAUGGUUCAAUAGUGAAAGACGGUUUUGCUGUCACUUAUAGAUGGAUCCGCGCCGCAUUAGCUAGUUGGUAAGGUAACGGCUUACCAAGGCAACGAUGCGUAGCCGACCUGAGAGGGUGAUCGGCCACACUGGAACUGAGACACGGUCCAGACUCCUACGGGAGGCAGCAGUAGGGAAUCUUCCGCAAUGGGCGAAAGCCUGACGGAGCAACGCCGCGUGAGUGAUGAAGGUCUUCGGAUCGUAAAACUCUGUUAUUAGGGAAGAACAAAUGUGUAAGUAACUAUGCACGUCUUGACGGUACCUAAUCAGAAAGCCACGGCUAACUACGUGCCAGCAGCCGCGGUAAUACGUAGGUGGCAAGCGUUAUCCGGAAUUAUUGGGCGUAAAGCGCGCGUAGGCGGUUUUUUAAGUCUGAUGUGAAAGCCCACGGCUCAACCGUGGAGGGUCAUUGGAAACUGGAAAACUUGAGUGCAGAAGAGGAAAGUGGAAUUCCAUGUGUAGCGGUGAAAUGCGCAGAGAUAUGGAGGAACACCAGUGGCGAAGGCGACUUUCUGGUCUGUAACUGACGCUGAUGUGCGAAAGCGUGGGGAUCAAACAGGAUUAGAUACCCUGGUAGUCCACGCCGUAAACGAUGAGUGCUAAGUGUUAGGGGGUUUCCGCCCCUUAGUGCUGCAGCUAACGCAUUAAGCACUCCGCCUGGGGAGUACGACCGCAAGGUUGAAACUCAAAGGAAUUGACGGGGACCCGCACAAGCGGUGGAGCAUGUGGUUUAAUUCGAAGCAACGCGAAGAACCUUACCAAAUCUUGACAUCCUCUGACCCCUCUAGAGAUAGAGUUUUCCCCUUCGGGGGACAGAGUGACAGGUGGUGCAUGGUUGUCGUCAGCUCGUGCCGUGAGAUGUUGGGUUAAGUCCCGCAACGAGCGCAACCCUUAAGCUUAGUUGCCAUCAUUAAGUUGGGCACUCUAAGUUGACUGCCGGUGACAAACCGGAGGAAGGGGGGGAUGAC
rnacentral:rRNA from 1 species